AUAUCAUUUAGCGGAGGACAAGAAAACAACCGUGAUUCCCUGAGUAACGGCGAGUGAACAGGGAACAGCCUAUGCUUGAAUCCUCGAUACGAAGGAACCGGAGUUCGAGGUUGUAGCGCAAAGGCCAAGGCGACCAUCUAUCGGUCAGCGAAUUCUCUGGAAAGUGACGACCAUGGAGGGCGAACGUCCCGUUACGUCUGUACGCGGUGGGUGGUCAACGUCUUGGACUCUACGAGUCGCGCAGUUUGAUAGUGCUGUGCAAACCGGAGGCGUGUUUCUCCGAAGGCUAAAUAUUGCACCAAGACCGAUAGCGAACAAGUAGUGUGAACGAAAGAUGAAAAGCACUUUGGAAAGAGAGUGAAAGAGUCCUUGAAGUCGUUGAGCGCCAAGGGUAUGAGACCCAUUGUACAGCUGCGCUAGCGUAGCUUGUCAACGCAUCUUGAUUCCUUCACUCGGGGCGAAUGCACCAAUCCACUUCGGCGGAGCGGAAUUUGUCCUCGGCUGCUGCAAGGGAUCGACGUGAUCGGGGAAGGUCUUACAGCACGAGCUGU
rnacentral:rRNA from 1 species